rnacentral:rRNA from 1 species
GAUGAACGCUGGCGGCGUGCCUUAUACAUGCAAGUCGAGUGGGUUUAGACCCACGGCAAACGGGUGAGUAACACGUAGGUACUUUCCUUGUCACAGGAAUAACCCUCCGAAAGGAGGGCUAAUACCUGAUGUGAUCGCAAGAUUAAAGGGUAUCCGCAAGGAUUACCGGACAAGAAGAGGCCUGUGGCCUAUCAGCUAGUUGGCGGGGUAAAUGCCCACCAAGGCUAUGACGGGUAGCUGGUCUUAUGAGGAUGAUCAGUCACAUGGGCACUGAGACACGGGCCCAACUCCUACGGGAGGCAGCAGUAGGGAAUUUUGCGCAAUGGGCGAAAGCCUGACGCAGCGACGCCGCGUGCGGGAUGAAGGCCUUCGGGUCGGAAACCGCUUUUAUAAGGGACGAACUUUGACGGUACCUUAUGAAUAAGAGGUUGCUAACUCUGUG